AGUGAACGCUGGCGGCAUGCUUUACACAUGCAAGUCGAACGGCAGCACGGGUGCUUGCACCUGGUGGCGAGUGGCGGACGGGUGAGUAAUGCAUCGGAGCGUGUCCUGAAGUGGGGGAUAACGCAUCGAAAGAUGUGCUAAUACCGCAUAUUCUCUGAGGAGGAAAGUAGGGGAUCGAAAGACCUUAUGCUUUUGGAGCGGCCGAUGUCUGAUUAGCUAGUUGGUAGGGUAAUGGCUUACCAAGGCGACGAUCAGUAGUUGGUCUGAGAGGACGACCAGCCACACUGGGACUGAGACACGGCCCAGACUCCUACGGGAGGCAGCAGUGGGGAAUUUUGCGCAAUGGGCGAAGCCUGACGCAGCCACGCCGCGUGAGCGAUGAAGGCC
rnacentral:rRNA from 1 species